rnacentral:lncRNA from 1 species
UCCUCCACGGCCAUCUGACCCAAUUGAAGUCAAGACCACACAGAUUCUAUCCCGAAUCGCCGCUGCUCUUGUCCUGGGUGCCACGCUCGCGCCCUAGUUACAUGGGCUUCCUCCUGCCAUGAUGGCUUGUCCCAGUUCCAGAAGCACAGACACCUGACCAGCAACUGAAACCUUUGAGACAACCGGGAGCCACACAAUGGAAAGCUCGGCUUCUAAAUCAGACCUCCAAGUCCUGAUAUCCACUCCUGCCUCAUGCACUGAAAGGAAAUAAAACUGUGAUUCAUGUAAUGUAUG